rnacentral:rRNA from 1 species
GAUGAACGCUAGCUACAGGCUUAACACAUGCAAGUCGAGGGGAAACGACAUCGAAAGCUUGCUUUUGAUGGGCGUCGACCGGCGCACGGGUGAGUAACGCGUAUCCAACCUGCCCAUCACUUGGGGAUAACCUUGCGAAAGUAAGACUAAUACCCAAUGAUAUCUCUAGAAGACAUCUGAAAGAGAUUAAAGAUUUAUCGGUGAUGGAUGGGGAUGCGUCUGAUUAGCUUGUUGGCGGGGUAACGGCCCACCAAGGCGACGAUCAGUAGGGGUUCUGAGAGGAAGGUCCCCCAAUUGGAACUGAGACACGGUCCAAACUCCUACGGGAGGCAGCAGUGAGGAAUAUUGGUCAAUGGACGAGAGUCUGAACCAGCCAAGUAGCGUGCAGGAUGACGGCCCUAUGGGUUGUAAACUGCUUUUAUAAGGGAAUAAAAGUGAGUCUCGUGAGACUUUUUGCAUGUACCUUAUGAAUAAGGACCGGCUAAUUCCGUGCC